GAAAUUGCAGUUGAAAUUUCUCUCCUUUGUCAACCAAAACAUAUUGCUAUUGUUGAGUUGUUGAUAUAAAGAUUCUAUAAUGAAUUGCCUGUUCUUGCUGACGGAAAAUAAGUAGGAGGACAGAGAUCAAGUUCUCAUUCUCUCCCAGGACAUGCUGGAAGUUGUGACACAAGAUAUAAUGAUGGAGGAUCAUGUAUCUAAGUAAUAUGUCCUGAGAAGAAAAUUAAAGAGGCCGAUAGGGUGGUUUCACUCUAGUAGUUUUUUUUGUUUCUUUCUUUUUCUUUGUUUUUUUUUGGGAAAAAUGUAUUGGAUUUUUAGGUGGUUUAGAAUUUUUGAUCUGGAUUUUGUACGAAUAUUGUUAUAUUUUAGAGUUCAAUUAAUAAUGAUUAUUGGAGUUAUUUGA
rnacentral:lncRNA from 1 species